rnacentral:rRNA from 1 species
GGAAGAAGCUUGCUUCUUUGCUGACGAGUGGCGGACGGGUGAGUAAUGUCUGGGAAACUGCCUGAUGGAGGGGGAUAACUACUGGAAACGGUAGCUAAUACCGCAUAACGUCGCAAGACCAAAGAGGGGGACCUUCGGGCCUCUUGCCAUCGGAUGUGCCCAGAUGGGAUUAGCUAGUAGGUGGGGUAACGGCUCACCUAGGCGACGAUCCCUAGCUGGUCUGAGAGGAUGACCAGCCACACUGGAACUGAGACACGGUCCAGACUCCUACGGGAGGCAGCAGUGGGGAAUAUUGCACAAUGGGCGCAAGCCUGAUGCAGCCAUGCCGCGUGUAUGAAGAAGGCCUUCGGGUUGUAAAGUACUUUCAGCGGGGAGGAAGGGAGUAAAGUUAAUACCUUUGCUCAUUGACGUUACCCGCAGAAGAAGCACCGGCUAACUCCGUGCCAGCAGCCGCGGUAAUACGGAGGGUGCAAGCGUUAAUCGGAAUUACUGGGCGUAAAGCGCACGCAGGCGGUUUGUUAAGUCAGAUGUGAAAUCCCCGGGCUCAACCUGGGAACUGCAUCUGAUACUGGCAAGCUUGAGUCUCGUAGAGGGGGGUAGAAUUCCAGGUGUAGCGGUGAAAUGCGUAGAGAUCUGGAGGAAUACCGGUGGCGAAGGCGGCCCCCUGGACGAAGAC